GUUUUUUUGUAUUAAAUAUAAAGUCUAACCUGCCCAUUGAAUAAAUUUUAAAAGGCUGCGGUAUAUUGACCGUACAAAGGUAGCAUAGUCAUUAGUUUUUUAAUUGAAAACUUGUAUGAAUGGUUGAAUGAAAAAUUAACUUUUUUUUGUAAAAAUAAUGAAUUUUACUUUUUAGUUAAAAGGCUAAAAUAAGUUUAAAAGACGAGAAGACCCUAUAGAGUUUAAUAAUUAAUUAUUAUUUUUAAGAAGGAUUAUUUUUUGUAUUAUUAAUAAAAUUAUUUUAUUGGGGUGAUAAUAAAAUUUAUUUAACUUUUAUUAAUUUUUUACAUUAAUAUAUGAUUAUUUGAUCCAAUAAUAUUGAUUAAAAAUUUAAGUUACCUUAGGGAUAACAGCGUAAUUUUUUUUUAAGUUCUUAUUAAUAAAAGAUUUUGCGACCUCGAUGUUGGAUUAAAAUUAAAUUUUAGGUGCAGCAGCUUAAAUUUCAAGUCUGUUCGACUUUUAAAUUCUU
rnacentral:rRNA from 1 species